CCGGGCAUGGGGUCCUGGGAUCCAGAGGUCGUGGGGCCAUGGGGCCCUGGGAUCCAGGGGCAUGGAGUCCUGGGGGCAUGGGGUCCUGGGACCCAGGGGGCAUGGGGUCCUGGGUGCGUGGGGUCCCAGGGCCGUGUUGUCCAAGGGGCAUGAGGGUAUGGGGUGCAGAGAGCAUAGGGUCCCGGGGACAUGGGGUCCUGAGUCUGUGGGGUCCGGGGCACACAGGGACCUGGAUACAUGGCGUCUUGGGGGCACGGCAUCUGCGACACAGGGAGACCUGUGCACAGGGGCUUUGGGACACCCGGGCUCCUGGGCAUAGGAGGCUGCAGACGUGCAGUGCCCCAGGCACACGGGGGCCCGGGCGGGCAGUGUCACACCUCCCUGCCUGCCCUGGCAGGUCCUAGCCUGGUCCAUGCCAGUUCCCGGCUGGCCCUCUCCCUGCCCCCCACGGGUGGCUCUGGCCGGAGGGUGACACUGCCCUUCAGCCAGCGCCGGCUGUGGGCUCCCAUGCCUGUGCACACAUGUGCUUGCGGCUCUCACUCCACUCUUGGAUAGUGACAUUUGCCUGCAGGCCUGAUAGUCACCCAUCAGGUUUUGGCUAUGGAAGAGUGAGGAGGUCGUUGUGGUGUGGGGUGAGCCUGGCACUGCCAGCCAGCCCUGCACCAGGGACUCCCCCCUGGGGCACCUGCAGUCCCUUGGCUGUAAAAUUUGUGUGUGUCGGUAACAGCCAUGCACUGGUAAAGCAUGGUGAAUGCAGGUGCUGUCAUUACAGAGAUCUCCUCUCUCAUAAGGCCUCCUUACAGACAGGAAAUCAUGGGAUCUUCUGCAUCCUUACCCCCUCCAACACAGCCUCACCUGCCUGUGCCUCACUGCCCAUCACUGACGGCAGUGGUACCCACUGCAUCUGUGUGCCGCCUGCUCCGGGAGACGGCCCUGCCCGACCAUGAAUCCCAAAACCUUUCCCUGCUGUUGCUGGGACAUUGCAAUCGAUUUGGAUGCCCACCAUGGUGAUGAGCCAGGUUGCCCACCCCUUUCUACGCAUCUUCCACACAUGCCUGGAAUCUCAAAUCACUUUGGAUAAAAGACACAGAAGAUUUUCUGGGAAGUGGGAAAGUAGUUCCAUUUGAGAAACAGGACGGCUGAAGAAGCUGCAGUGAAUCAGCAGUGAUCUGGGUUGGGGCAUUGCUCUUUUCUGAAACCAUCAGACAACAUCACUGUGUUCAGGAAAGGAGUCGUGGCCUUGAAACCUGUUCCCACCACUCACCCCUACACUGUCUCUCUCAGCACCCACCUCUUCUUCCUCCUCAGUCUUCUUUUGUAUUACAGGCAUUCUCUACUUGCCUGACUUUAUAUGAGUCAUCAUUUCACAUCGAGCCUGAGCUGCCUAUAACCCUGGCUGGUUUGAUUUCUGUGCUGCGUUACAGAGUCAGCUCCAUCCUGACCCACAGCAUGAAAGAAAAGCUGCUUUGGAAACAGCAAAGUGAACAAGCCUUCUCUUGUUACUCUUGUUUCCUGGCUGCUGCUGAGCAAAUGUGACACUCUUCCAAAAAUCUGCAUCCCAAAUGACUCUUGGGAGCCCAAGUGAGGCUCAGAAACACUUUGUUUUGUAAAGGAAAUCUCUCCACUGGCUUUUGAGGAAGUAUGUAUCGUGAGGGUUGACCGCUGCUGGACACCAGUGCUGGGUGAUGGGAGGCUGAAUAAAUGUCUCAGCUGGCAUCAUGGAUCUGUUGAGUUUGUCAGUAUCCACUGGUGGGAUAACCCAAUUUUUAAGGCUUUGAAACUUAUUUUUUAUUCUGGUUCCUUGACAGAGAAAAGUAGUCUGGUAGAAGUGAGGUGGGCAGCAAGGUGAUAUGGUCCUUCAGCUGUAGGUAUCUCACAGGCUCUCAGGGAUGGUCACAGGCUAUCAUCAGUGUCCUCUUUAUUUUGGCUAGGUUCACAGGCCACCUCUUGUUAAGCCUUGAUUUUGGCACCUGUAAUAAAUGAGCUACAUUCAUCCUUUCAGAAACUUAGGGAAACUCCCAGAGCUGCAGCAGAGAUUAAAUUUGAUCCAGUAUGUUACAGGGGGAAGCUGAAAAGUCUACUUGUCCCUUAAAAGAUGAAAAAGUACCUUUUGGGGAGCCUUUGUGUUUCAUAAGCAAGCAGAUGAGAGGGGUCAGAGAGCUCCUGGCACCAGUGGAUGACUGUGGCUUUCAGCUUGAUGUUGGUUGUUAAAAAUAUUAUCCCAGAUGUAUUAAUACGACCAGACUGGAUUGCAUCUGAGCUGAACAUUGUGAGCCUAAGGCAGGACGUAAAUAUAGAAGCAAAACAGCCUGACAUAAGAGUCAUCUGUCCUCUUCUACACAAGAAGUGAAGGGGAAAGAGAGGGAACUUACUCUGUUGCAAUUUUUAGACACUUCCAGGCAUUAGCCUGAGCCUUGGGGAGUGCCUACACUGGGGUCCUGGGGAACAGCAGACCCCUGCAUAUCCCUUGCUCAAAUCUAGUAUGCUGUGCCACAGGACUGUGCACUCAGCACAUUUUUAACCCGGGGUUAGAUUUGCCUAGACAAGGUCUGCAAUCAGGAAUGACUAUUUGUUUGAUGUGUUUGCCUAACAGGAUUACUCUUAUCAUAAUGAUAUAGCAACCUGGCCUUGGCAGAGCAAACCCCAAGGGCUCGAGGGGUCAAAUCCUCUCCUCCCUUGCCCCAAAUAUGCACAGUGUAUCUUGUCUCUGUUAUCAUGCAAUAUCCAACUGGUGCUUCGAUUGGCGUUCAGUGCUCUGCUUUUGGAAAGAGCAGUUGUGCCGUGUACUGCUGCCUGCUGACACCACGCUUGGCAUUUCUCUCUCCACACCUGAAAAAAAAAUCAAUAAUAUUAAAAGGUUAGAAAAAUGAUGUGAUGUUUUACUGCUAGAGAAUGAGAUGCUUUACCUGUGGGGAAUCGCUCUGGUCAGAUGCCUGAUUCACUUCAGUGGGAAUUUGUUGCCCACUGGCUCCCUAAGAGUAGAGCUAUAGGUAAUAAACCAAUGAGUUGUGCUUUUUUCAUUGUUUAUCAUGAACAUGCCUAAAAUAAUUACAAAAGCAUUUGUUUUUGUGUAAAAGUAUAUCUGUGAUUAUUAAAGUUUUAUGAUUUGAAAGAUUCAA